GGGAACUGAAACAUCUAAGUACCCGGAGGAAAGGACAUCAAUAGAGACUUCCCUAGUAGCGGCGAGCGAACGGGAACCAGCCGAGCCUGAUGAGUGACUAGAAUGUGUUGGGAAGCACAGCCAUAGCGGGUGACAGCCCCGUAUAGGAAGCUCUGAGGGACGUAUUAAGUAGGGCGGGACACGUGAAAUCCUGUCUGAACAUGGGGGGACC
rnacentral:rRNA from 1 species